GGGCCCCAGGGUAACAGCUUGACCUCUGGAGGCACUGGAGACAAAGAUCAGCCACGUGGCAGUCAACCAUGUCUAUCUGACCAAGUUCCAAUGAAAACUCUGGACACCAAGGCUUGGGAGAUAUUUCUCAAAAGACUCCUCUGCGGGAGAGGAGAAUAGCUGUACUCUAAGCAGUUCGCAGGGAGCAUCUUUCAGCAGCUGAAACAGCUUUGCGGCCUUGCUGUAAUGAAGAUCUGCCAGCACCCGGUGUUGUUUCCUAAGGUGUUCAUCACCAACCUAGAACCAAACCAAAACAAGCAACAAAUCCUUCACGAGAAAGAAAGAAAACAACUGUGUAAGCAGACAUCAGUGUAAACCUUAGCACUGUCUCUUGAUGAGAUAAGAGGAGGAUGGCAGUGACAGGAGUGUGGUGGCGAGCCAGUCACCUGCAGUCAACCACGGCUCAUUGCUCUCACCAUGCCUGUUACAUGAAGGUAUGUAUGUAUAGGAAAAAGCACUGAAAAACUCUCCAGUUUCAGGCAUCCACUGGGGAUCUUGGAACGCAUCCUCCAAGGAUAAGUGGG
rnacentral:lncRNA from 10 species